GCACCACAAGAACGCGUGGAGCAUGUGGCUUAAUUUGACUCAACGCGGGAAAUCUUACCGGGUCCGGACACACUGAGGAUUGACAGGCAAUAUCUAAAUCGUUUAUAAUUCCUAUUAUAAUACGUAUUUAGUGUUAAAUAUGCUAGUCCUUUCAUGAUUAUGUGAUAGGUGGUGCAUGGCCGUUCUUAGUUCGUGGAGUGAUCUGUCUGCUUAAUUGCGUUUCACUAAGGGCCCAUAAAUUCAAGGUAUGUUAGCUAUCGUUUCUCAAUUGACCCCUUGUCUUCGAUAAGCGCGUGUCUUUUAGAGUUUAAACAUUGCGCAUGCUGUUGGGUCCUGAAAGCAACGAACGUGACCGCAACGUCUUAUUGCCUUUAUCUUGUUAUAUUCUAAUUUAAUUAGAAAUAACUAACAGAGGCUAAUUUAAAAUUAGACGGACCGCUGUACUUUUCUUAAACCAGAG
rnacentral:rRNA from 1 species